CGCUCUGUCAUUGGGGAGUAGCCAUCCUUUGUCCCCUCAAAGGAGCUAGCGUCAACAGACUUGGUGGUUCAGCGCUGCGCAGCAGCCGCUAGAACUCCAUGGCGCUAGUAGCGGUUCCAUGCAUGUCGGCAAGCCCGCCGCAUGGACCAGCCAGGCGAGACCUUUGGCCGCGUUGCGUUCACCCCAGCCGGGCGAGCCGC
rnacentral:sRNA from 2 species